UCACUUCGAUGAGAACAACAUGAAUACAAUAAUGCGGAAGCGUUCAAGCUUAAUAAGUCACUUAAUGUAUAACCAGCACAUCGGGUAAUUAUGAAACGACUUAAAUUCAAAGUACACAUCAGGGCCCAAACUUUUCAAGUUUACAAUUCCCAAAAGUACAACCCAAACCAGGGCCUAGUCAAAAUAUAUAACAGGAGUCUUAACAAAAUUACAACGGAUGGUUUCUCCAUAUUUCUCCAAGAGUCGGUCCUGUUAAGGAAAACAAAACUAUAGGGUGAGCUAAACGCUCGUGAGGCCAAGAACACACAUGCAAGCACUUAGUCAAAUAACAAACCCAAUUUAAUAAAUAAAACCAUGUCUUUUCAAUAAUCAAUUAUUCAAACAGGAAAAGUAAUCAGAAACAAUUCAAGGAUAUAGUAGCUCUCAGGAGCUAAGUUCCACUUGAUCUGCCGUUGUCAUUCGUAUACCUUCCCGCAUUGACCCUCCUGUCAACCGGGUCGGUAUUUCCAUUUCCGUAGACCACCACUUACUUUCCUCCGUCCACCGUACACCCCAAGGGCCCACAAGUCUAUUAUUGGGCGAUACUCUACGAGUAUGCCAAGCAAGACCUCUUAUUAGGUCGAGCUUAUGUGUAUCUCAUGGCUCGUCCAAAUCCCCGACCAAGCCCAUUGCUGGCUCGAGUCUAAGGACGGCCUAUGAGUUUGGGCGUCCCCCAUUCAUUUGAAAGUCGAGGAGGUUCACUCCAACGACAUAAGCAUUCAUGACAUACCAUUGCAUUUCAUUCAUUCAUUCAAUACGUUUCAUUCAUUCAUUUGAAAUUAGAACGAGUGCGAUAAAAUACGCACCCGCCCUUAUUUUUAAAACUUUCAACAAAUACCACAAAUAAGCAAGUAUCAAAAUUCACAUACUUGACACUCACCGAGCAAUUCAAUAAGAAUUAUUUUCCGGAAGUUCAAGUGUCCACGGUGAGAUCCUCUUGAAGGUCUCCUUGCGCGCCUGGCAAUUUAAUAGUGGAUAAUCACACAAUUAACCCACUUAUCAAGGAAGAUUGUACACUAGUACAAUCUAAGAAUUAUUUUGCAAAAAUGAACCUCAAUUACACGUAAAUCGAGGUUCAACUUGCCUUUUAUUAGGUACAAUAUUAUUUGAGUUUUUAUCAUGAAAAUCGAGGGCAAAACGUUUGAAUAAUACUACGAGAAUUAAGAGUUUUGGAAAAACUCCUUUGCCUUGAAAUGUGAGAAUUUCAGUUUUAUCCUAAAUCUUUGAAAAAUCGUAACUCGCUCGGUAUAAGUCGAGAAUUGGAAAACUUUAUACCGUUGGAAUCCUCUGAGAGAGUACUAUAAGUUCCUAGAAGACACUUUUCCAUGAAUCCAAGUGAAAAGUGGUCAAAAUUGGGCUUGAAGACGCAGUGUUGGUUUUCAUGGCAGAAUUAAGUUGGAUUUCAGCCAACUUUGGAGAUUCGGCACGAUUCACACGUUGCAAACCGGCCUCUGAAAUUUUCAGCUCAAUUAGUGUUGCAAGUGAAGUGUAUGACAAAACAAGCGGAUCAAGAAUCGGAGUUUCGAGCACCGAGAUACGGUAGCCCGAAGUUGAGCAAAUUCAAGACUGGAUGAGAAUUUUCCAGAUUUGAACCUCUAACUUUAGUAAUUCAAUUGGGUAUCGAAACGAACUUGAAUUGGCACCAAAAUGGGCAGUAUUUCAAUACUAUAUGGAAAGUAUCCCUAUAUCGAAUUUCGGGGAAAAAUACCUUCGGCAAGGUAGUUAAUUAGCCAACCAAAGUUCAAGAAAAAUCCUAAGGCAAUCUGCCUUUGACUUUCAUUUUCCAAAUUUCCAAUCGUUUAACCAAGAAAGUUAUCCAACCAUGGUUCAUUUGUAAAAUAAGGGUCUAAGAUACAUCCAUAAUAUCUUUGGUAAGUGUUUAAUAUCAAAAACAUCAACUAACAAGUUCACUCCAAGAUUUGGUUCCAAACCAGUCCAAACAUUAGGGUUUUCCAAAACAGAGCAGUCCACUUGUUUCAGUCACAACUCAGUCAUUAUAGCUCGAAAUCGAGCAUGGCUUAUGCCGUUGGAAAAUACAUUCAUAGAGUUAAAAUAUCACAGAAGAAAUCGUUUCCAAAUUCGGCACCCAUCUGGUUCAAAUUCGGGCAUCAAGUUGCUGCCUGAACACCUCAUUCCAGAUGAACAGAGUAACAGGACAGCGAACUUAAAACAUUUCGUUCGGCUUGCUCACAAAGAAUCAGAACGUGCAUUAUAUACCAAAUUAAAGCUAGGAAUGUCUAGUUUCAAACGCCACCGACGGACAUGAUUUCGACAUCCGAGGACAGAGUUAUAGCCAAAAUACUACUGCUGGUCAGAGCAUACGCGAAUCAGUUUUCCAGAUUUGCUGGUUUCUAAAAAAAAUUCAUUUGCCCAUUCAAACCUCAUUAUUUUUAAAUGAAAUUUUUCACACAUCUAAUACAUCCUACAAACAUCCAAUUCAAGCAAUUAAACCAUUAAAAAUUGGCCUGGAAAUGGCCGAACAUGGCAGGGUCAAAAUUGGAAAUUUUAGCUUCUUACACCCAAUGAAGUUCCUACUAAGUACCCACCACUAAUGCAUCAUUAUAACCACUAAACCAACAAUAUAAUCACCAUCAAUCAUCAAAUCAGCAACAACAACCCAAGUGUGGGAAUUCCAAGAGCCCACAAUCACAUUUUUACACCAUAAUCAAGUAACUAAGUGCAUGCAUGAGCUUAAUCUUGCCAUAUAAUCUCCAAAAGAUAAGAAUCCAAGGGUUGAUCAUUACCUACUCCUUUGGUUUGCAAGGUCAGAAUUUUCGGCACUCUUAAAGCUCCAAGAAACCGUGAUUUCCAGCCCUUGUUUGCAGCUCAAGAUGAUCCUCAAGUGUCAAGCUAGGUGUGGUGCAAGUUUGGUUAAAUUUGGAGAUGAUUUGGGGUGGUUUUGAGUGAGAUUAGUGAGCAGAAUUUUUGAAGCAAUGGUGUUAGAGAGAGGAGGGAGUUUGGUCGGCUGUGAGGAGAGAUAAAAUGGAGGGAAAUCUGACUUCCUUUAGCUUCCAAGAGAAGGUGAAAUAAGUGGUGGUAAUUCACCCAAAAGUCAACUCUCAUUAGGGGCCGUUUGGUGCGAUUACGGCUCGAUUUUCUCGCGCGUUUGGUUCACUAGUGCACUAAACCUCCAAGGCAUAUAUAUUCAUGUAAAUAUUAUUCACUCUUAAUUGUCCCAAAAUAAGGGUCUAAAGUCCCUCAAUUGAAGUCGCGCGCGUGAAAACGCGUACCGUCAAAUUUAACGCUAUAACGCGAAACUUUCGGAAAAUUCUUAUAACGAUUGCACUACUAACUAUCACUUGAAUAUUUAUUCAUAAAAUUACCUAUUUUAGGACCAUAGUACAAGUCUCCAAUAUUCCAAGCUUAUCGUGCUACUACGCAGAUAAAAUCUCCAAGUACUAUUCACUAUUUUUACUAAACGCGCUCUAGGAAAUUAAUUUUCGAAACGAAUCAUUCUAAAAAUAUAACGAAGAUAUACUACCACUUAUUUAGGUCUAAUAAGACUAGAAAAUAUUCCUUGGAAUUAAAACCCAAUUAAAUAAUUUAUUAAGCCAUAACUUAGGCAUAAAAUAAUAGUUUUUGCGAGUCCUCACAUCCUCUCCCCCUUAAGAAAAUUUCGUCCUCGAAAUUUACCUUGAUCGAUGAACAAGUCUGGAUACUUCUCCCUGAUUGUCUCUUCAACUUCCCAUGUUGCUUCCUCUAUUCCAUGGUUCUUCCAUAAAACUUUCACUAGUGGUAUCUGCUUGUUCCUCAAUUCCUUCACCUUUCGAUCCAGAAGUUUUACCGGUCUCUCCUCAUAGGUCAGGGUUUCAUCAAUCUCAAUAUUCUCCGGUUGUAAAACAUGAGAGGGGUCUGGAUGAUACUUCUUAAGCAUGGACACAUGAAACACGUUAUGGAUACGAGAUAAACUCGGUGGUAAUUCCAGCUUAUAGGCUACAUUCCCAACUUGCUGAAUAAUCUUAUAAGGCCCUACAAACCUUGGUUGUAGUUUCUUCCCUUUUCCGGACAUCAAACUUGCUUUUAACGGCGUAAUCUUGAGAAAUACCAUAUCUCCAACAGUGAACUCCAAAUCCUUCCUCCGAUUGUCGGCAUAACUUUUUUGUCUACUCUGAGCGGUUUGAAUUCUUUGCCGUACCAAUUUCACCUUUUCAUUAGCCUCCUCGAUCCAAGAUACAGUAGUCGUGUCUAAGAUUUUCCGUUCGCCUACUUCAUCCCAACAAAUUGGGGAUCUACACUUCCGACCAUAAAGUGCCUCAUACGGAGCCAUUUGAAUAGAAGAGUGGAAACUAUUGUUAUAGGCAAAUUCCACUAAAGUCAAGAACUUACUCCAAUUCUCUCCAAAGUCCAGUACACAAGUCCUCAACAUGUCCUCAAGAGUUUGAAUUGUUCUUUCAGAUUGUCCAUCAGUCUGGGGAUGAUAGGUGGUACUAAAGUUCAACUUAGUCCCCAACACUUCUUGCAUCUUUUGCCAAAACUGACGUGCGCGGGGUAUACAUAUAAUAUUAAGCUCAUCCCAAUCAAGUUUUACAUUUAUAAAUUCCUAAAUACCCCACACGCGAUUUAUCGCAAGUAUACGAAUCGUGAGCGAGUAUAGGGUAUUAAGGGUCGAUCCCACAGGGAAGAAUGCAAUUACCGAUGUUUUCAAACUCCUUUAUUAUUUAGACUACCACAAAUAUAAAAUUUAUGAAAAUAACACUAGAAAGCUCCUAGAGAUAUGGAAUUCCUUACUACUCUUGCAAAUGAGAUUAUCGGUUAAGUGAAUGCUAUUAUCUUGAUUAGUUAUGGCGUAAUUUCCUAAUAUAUGUGAAACCUACUUUCGUAGUGAAUCAACUAUACUUGUAAUUAAGUCAUACCUACUCUCGUGGUUAUGAAAUUAACUACAAGUUCAUUUCUUCUAUGAAAUUACAUGAAACAAGUCACUUAAGCCAUAUAGGUGCACCUCUACUUUCGUGAGUGUACUCCCUAGGCUUAUCACUUCUUUGAACUAGUGUUAAAUUCCAAUUUUCAUUGCAAACUUAACACCUUAAGAUUAUCACAAUUAAUGGCCAAUUAAUCAUGAUUAGAUAACCAAAAGUAAUAAAUAACUUGCUCAAAAUAAUAUCAUCAAAUAGCCAAGUAAACCUCACAAACAAAAUAUAGCAAGUUCAACCAUAACUUUAGGCAUAAACUUUAACUAAACAUAAUAAACAUAAAAUCCAGUACUUGCAUAUUAACUAAAUUUGGAAUCAAGUACAAAAGAUAAAGAGUUGGAAAGGAAUGUAACCCAUGUCACUUGAGCUCAUCACCUUGCCUUCUUCAUCUCCAUCUUAAUCCUAGUCUAGCAAUAUACAAGAAUGGAUGAACUACACUAGCUAAACUAUACUACACAAAGGAAAUGGAAGAACUACAUUUCUGCACUCUUCUAGCUCUCCCCCGUAUCCUCUCUCCAAAUGUCUCUGCAUAUAAACUGAUGAAAAUCUCCUCUCUCCCAGUCCAAAUUUGCUGCUAUGAUUCUUCAAAUCUCCUUUUGUUAAGAUAGUCAAAAACAAUCCAUUGUUUUUGACUUGAAAAUAAGCCAUAUUGUCUGCCAUUUUGUCUUCUGAAGCAUGUGCACCGAAUUCUCUUGCAGAUUGUAGCUGGAAAGUAGUUUGAACAUAAGAGAAUUGACCGAGCAAAUUGCAGAAUUGCGGCCAGAAAACGCGCCUACACAAAACGCGGUUACAAGUCACGUUUUGUGUACUCGCGUAUUCACUUUGGCCUUACUUUAUCUGCGAUUUUUAUCCAUGAUAAAGGCCGAACUGGCUUUUGUGGAAAACACAAAAGUUGUAGCCCUUUGAAUUAGCGUUCCAAUGCUUCAAGAAUCAUCUAAUUUGGAGAUCCGCAGACGGAGAUAUGAUCAAAAUACUAAACACUGGUCAGAGCUCUGUUUUCCACUUUGGACAGCUGAGUUGAAUUUCGGUAUUUCAACUUUUGGACUAUGAAAACGGCUGAAUUGGACUUUGAUGUCUUCAUACCAAAUGUAGAUAUAUCUCUUAGCUUCAAAAUGGUACCAAGAUCACCUUGAUCCAAUCAUUGUAGCUCUUGAUAUAGUCAAAAUACGAAAAUGUGUCAGAGUUGUCAAACCUGACUUUUCUUGAUCCAAAUUGCAUUUUUUUCCUUUUACACUUCAUAUUUUAUUUUCACCACUUUAAUUCAUUUUCAAUCAUCCAAAUAUCUUCUCAAUGCACUUCAUUUGAUGAUUGAAUCAUUAAACCUACAAAAUAUGAAGUUUUUACCAUAAAAAUCCAUAAAAUGCAAUAUUUAGCCACUUUAACCUAAAAUGUAGUUUUUUACCAAAACCUUAGUUAUUUUAGUUAUAAAACUAAAUAAUCAAACCAAAAUUAACUAAUAAAACACACUAAAAAUACGUAAAAUAAACUCUUAUCAAAAACCUCGAAACAAAUCUUGGAUCCCUAUCCGACACAAUACUCACAGGUAUACCAUGUAGUCUGAUGAUCUCAUCCAAGUACAUUCUGGCCAACUUCUCCAAUGGAUAUUUCAUAUUAAUCGGCAGAAAAUGAGCCGAUUUAGUCAAUCUAUCUACUAUCACCCAAAUGGCAUCAUGGCCUCUCUGUGUCCUUGGUAAGCCUGAUACAAAAUCCAUGGUAAUAUUUUCCCAUUUCCACUCAGGUAUUUCUAGAGGUUGCAAAAGCCCAGAUGGUUUCUGAUGUUCAGAUUUAACCUGUUGACAAACCAAGCAUGUCUGAACAAAUUGGGCAAUUUCCUUCUUCAUAUUUUUCCACCAAUAUAGACUCUUCAAGUCUUGGUACAUUUUAUUCCCUCCUGGAUGUACUGUAAACUUUGAUCGGUGUGCCUCUUCCAAAAUUUCUUUUCUAAGCCCUUCAUCCUUUGGCAUAACCACCCGAUUUCGAAAUCUUAAUAUUCCAUCUGAUUCCAAAGUGAAAUCGGUCUGGUCUCCCAUCUUGACUUUCUCCACCAACUUUUGCAUUUCAGGGUCCUUUUCCUGAGAUUCCUUAAUACGUCCCAAUAAAGUGGAGGUUAUCACAAUAUUCCCCAAAAUCACUUUCCUUGGUUCUAAUCGAGGAUUCCAAUAGCUAACUUCCUCCAACAAUCGAAAUUCCUUAACCAUCAAUCCAGCUAUUUGUACCUGACGGCUCAAAGCAUCGGCCACUACAUUGGCCUUCCCAGGAUGGUACUUAAUAAUGCAGUCAUAAUCUUCCAGAAUUCCAUCCAUCUACGUUGCCUCAAAUUCAGUUCCUUCUGAGAAAAUAAGUACUUAAGGCUUUUGUGAUCUGUAAAAACCUCAAAUGUCACUCCGUAUAAAUAGUGUCUCCAUUUCUUCAAAGCAAAAACCACAGCCGCUAACUCCAAAUCAUGGGUCGGAUAGUUUCCUUCAUGCGGCUUCAAUUUUCUAGAGGCAUAAGCUAUCACUUUAUCAUUUUGCAUCAAAUCACAUCCCAAACCUUCCUUAGAUGCAUCUGUGUAAACCACAAAACUAUCAUGUCCAUUUGGUAGAGCUAGAACAGGCGCUCUAGUCAACCGUCUUUUCAACUCCUGAAAACUUCCUUCACACUUAGAACUCCAAAUAAACUUUCCAUUUUUCUUGGUCAACUCAGUCAUAGGUCCAGCGAUUUUCGAAAAAUCCUGGAUGAAUCUCCGGUAAUACCCUGCCAAUCCUAUAAAACUCCGAACUUCCGUUGGAUUUUCCGGUCGUUUCCAUUUCGAAACAGCUUCCACUUUAGCUGGAUCCACUUUAAUCCCAUCCUUAGAAAUUAUAUGCCCUAGGAAAGUCACUUCCUUUAGCCAGAAUUCACACUUGCUAAACUUAGCAUAUAGCUGAUGUUCCCUCAAGAUUUGUAAAACCAUUCUCAAAUGUUUCUCAUGAUCUUUCACAUUCUUAGAAUACACCAAAACGUCAUCAAUGAAAAUCACCACAAAUUGAUCCAAGUAAGGCUUAAAAACCCUAUCCAUUAAAUCCAUGAAAGCGGCAGGUGCAUUGGUUAACCCAAAAGGCAUUACUGCAAACUCGAAGUGCCCAUACCUCGAGUUAAAAGCAGUCUUAGGUAUGUCCUUCUCCAAAAUCCUCAAUUGAUAGUAACCUUGCCUUAGAUCCAACUUUGAAAACACUACCGCCCCUUGCAGUUGGUCAAAUAGUUCAUCAAUGUGGGGUAGUGGGUAUUUAUUCUUAACCGUAACAUCAUUUAAACCUCGGUAAUCUAUACAUAAUCUCAAACUCCCAUCUUUCUUCUUUACAAACAAAACUGGGGCUCCCCACGGAGAAUCACUCUCUCGUAUAAAACCCCGUUCCAACAAAUCCUGUAAUUGUAACUUCAACUCCUUCAACUCAGCCGGAGCCAUCCUGUAUGGUGUCCUUGAUAUAGGUGCUGUUCCCGGAGCUAAAUCAAUUUUAAAAGCUAUUUCCCGUUCCGGAGGUAGAGACUCCAAUUCUUCAGGAAAAACAUCAGAAAAUUCUUUUACUACCGGUGUGUCCUCCAGAUUCACCUUAUCGUUAGGGGUAUUAAUAAGAAAAGCCAAAUACCCUUGAGCUCCUUUACUUAACAACUUUCUAGCCCGAAUUCCCGAAAUAAGUGCAGACGAGGCUAACUUACCCCUCACAUCCAAUUUCAGGGUUGCCUCCCCUGGAAUACACAAUUCUACAAUUUUCGUCCUACAAUUUAACUGAGCAUUAUAACGGGCUAACCAAUCCAUCCCUAGGAUCACAUCAUAUCCUUUAAUCGCUAAGCCUAUCAAAUCGGCCAGCAAUUUUCUUUCUCUCACGCAAAUUUCACUAUUCUUAUACACCAUAUUAGCAAUUAGACUUUUGUCCCCAGUGGGUGUUUUAACCUCCAAGUCAUAUGGUAACUUAAUUGGCUUCAAGUCUAUUCCACUCAUGAAAUCAGGGUUUACAAAAGAGUGCGUUGCACUCGGAUCAAUUAAAACCCUAGCUAGGCGGUGAAAGAUUGGAAUUGUACCUUCGACCACUUCGGUCGCAUCUGGAGCUUGUGGAUAGUCCAAUGCGUAGACCCUAGCCGGUACUUUCGGUCGACUCCCUCCGGCACUGGUCUGCUUAGAGGUUGAUUUUUCAGGUCUCUGCAGGUUUCCCCCUGUCUUUGACGAUUUCGGACAAUUUGCAAUCUGAUGCUCAGUGCUCCCACACAGUAAGCAUUUUCCCAGCUUUCUCCAGCAGUCAUCCUCAGAGUGGUUGGGUUUACCACAAUACCCACAAGUAACUUGAGGGGUCACAGUCGAUCCAACAGAUGGUGCUCCCCUAGCUUGAGUCGUCCCGCUACGACCUCCCCUAGAUAGAGCUCCCCUAGAAGCUCCAGCAGUUCUCGUUCCUCCUUCACCUCUUCCCUUUUUAGAAGGGUGUACAAACUUACUGGUCUGCCCAGUAGUGCGACUAGGGAAAUUCCUUUUUCUAUUGUGGAAAUCCCUCACUUGAGAUCUUGCAUUCUCAACCCUUUGCGCUUUCUCUAAAGCCUCAGUAAAAGUAGAGAUUUGGGCUGCAGCCAGGCCCUCCUGAAGUUCCACAUUAAGUCCCUGUAUGAACCUUCUAAUCCUUCUCCGUUCAUUGGCUACUAGCUCAGGAGCAUAUUUGGAAAGUUUAGUGAUCUUCCCUUCAUACUCCGCUACAGUAAGGGUUCCUUGUUUUAACUUAAUAAAUUCAUCCUCCCUCUUCUCUUGAAUUAAGGGCGGAAGAAACUUUUCAUUAAACUCCCUUGCGAAAUUCUCCCAAGUCCAAGGGGUUUGAGCUCUUUCCCAUUUUCCUUUUAUCAAAUCCCACCAAGCACGGGCUACUCCCUCAAAUUGAAAAGCAGCAAAGUUCACUCGCCUAACCUCAGUAUAGUCUAGAGCGGCGAAUAUGUUGGUCAUCCUUUCUAACCAAUUCUCCGCUACUUCAGGGUCAGGUUCACCCAUAAACUUAGGCGGGUUAAACUUUAGGAAUCUUUCCAGAGCUCUAUCCUCUCCUCUAUCCUGGCCCCCAGGUUGGUUAAAUGGUCUGGGACCCUGUCUCUCCGCUAGACGUUCUAGGAUAUCAGUCAUCCUAUUGAUGGCAGUAGCCACUUGGUUACCCUCAACGUUUUCCUGUCCCUGGGUCGGUCCAGUUGCCGACCCCUGGUCAUCCCCCUGAGGUUGGGCCUGUCUAGACGCUCGCCCACGGCCUCGACCACUCCUUAAUCCUUCCAUUAGUCUAAACGUGCCUAGUGCAAGAAAUAAAUUAAUUUAAGCAGAAAACAAGAAUUAUAUCGAAUUUAGAACUAACCAAGAAAGCAUUGAAAUUAACAAUAAUUUACAUUCAUAAGCAUGUCAAGUUCGUACAAUUAGCAAGUUAGGGACAAUUCACAAAAUAUAGCACACAGGUGCUCAAAAGUAUACUUCUAGUCACAGAAGACUAAAGUAAGAACAAGUGCCCAAAAGUAGGCCACACAAGCAUGCAAAAUACAAUGGCCUCGGCACCCGCGUCACCCUAACUAGCCCUAACUGUACCAGUCAAAAGUCAAAAGGGAGUCAACGACUAAGAUCCUAGUCCACAGCGGGGCUAGCAGGAGGAACCUCCUCCUCGGGGUCCUCCUCCGGAUCCUCCUCCUCAUCGUCAGGAAUCACCGCAGUAGCGUUCUCAACCAGACUACUAGCAUCAACCAGCAUCUCGAAAGCCCGAGUACGGACAUCCCGUGCUAACCUAAUAAGUCGAGCCCUAGCAUCCCGAAGCUCCUCAUUAACCACUGCAGAUGUGGCUACCUCACCCUCCAGCACCUCCUCGAGCUCAGCAAUCCGUUCACCCUGAGCGCCAACCAUCUGCCUGAGUUCAUCUACCUCAGCCUGUAAAUCACGGUUGGCAUCCACCAACUGACGACACUCGUCGUCCAGAGCAUGCACUAGAUGGUUCGGGUAGGCGAAAGUCAACCUACACAAACAUCGUGGGUAUCUGUCAUAGGGUGAGUAGCGUACACGAGCUCCUCCUGCUAUAGAUCGGUAGUAGAUAGUCCUAAGGGGCUCGUAAUGACCAUUCGCAUGGCCAUUCCCAUUAGCUGCCGGGGCUCCAUUUCCGUCAUCCAUACCUGCAAAAUAAAAUAAUAAUACCUUUCGGGUUAGAAACUUAAAUCACUACCUAAUUCCAAUAUCCUGCAAUGCAUGCCUAACUUAAUCGUUGGUUCAUCCCAAUCGUCACUUGAGGUAGGACUAACUUAGUUGCUAGCUCGCCUCAAGUAUCACUUAGGGUAGGAUUAAGUCAUCCCAUAUCGAGUCUUAAAGGUAGAGUAUCUAAUAUGUCUCCCAUACAGACCUCUAACCUAGUGCUCUGAUACCAACUGUGACGCCCCACAUCUCCCUAAGGCGGACCAAAGGGUAUCCGCGGACGCCUGCCCAGCUCACGCCAGGACUCAAGCAAUUCCAUUCAAUUUCAAACCGAACUAAUCACUUCGAUGAGAACAACAUGAAUACAAUAAUGCGGAAGCGUUCAAGCUUAAUAAGUCACUUAAUGUAUAACCAACACAUCGGGUAAUCAUGAAACGACUUAAAUUCAAAGUACACAUCAGGGCCCAAACUUUUCAAGUUUACAAUUUCCAAAAGUACAACCCAAACCAGAGCCUAGUCAAAAUAUAUAACAGGAGUCUUAACAAAAUUACAACGGAUGGUUUCUCCAUAUUUCUCCAAGAGUCGGUCCUGUUAAGGAAAACAAAACUAUAGGGUGAGCGAAACGCUCGUGAGGCCAAAAACACACAUGCAAGCACUUAGUCAAAUAACAAACCCAAUUUAAUAAAUAAAACCAUGUCUUUUCAAUAAUCAAUUAUUCAAACAGGAAAAGUAAUCAGAAACAAUUCAAGAAUAUAGUAGCUCUCAGGAGCUAAGUUCCACUUGAUCUGCCGUUGUCAUUCGUAUACCUUCCCGCAUUGACCCUCCUGUCAACCGGGUCGGUAUUUCCAUUUCCGUAGACCACCACUUACUUUCCUCCGUCCACCGUACACCCCAAGGGCCCACAAGUCUAUUAUUGGGCGAUACUCUACGAGUAUGCUAAGCAAGACCUCUUAUUAGGUCGAGCUUAUGUGUAUCUCAUGGCUCGUCCAAAUCCCCGACCAAGCCCAUUGCUGGCUCGAGUCUAAGGACGGCCUAUGAGUUUGGGCGUCCCCCAUUCAUUUGAAAGUCGAGGAGGUUCACUCCAACGACAUAAGCAUUCAUGACAUAACAUUGCAUUUCAUUCAUUCAUUCAAUACGUUUGAUUCAUUCAUUUGAAAUUAGAACGAGUGCGAUAAAAUAUGCACCCGCCCUUAUUUUUAAAACUUUCAACAAAUACCACAAAUAAGCAAGUAUCAAAAUUCACACACUUGACACUCACCGAGCAAUUCAAUAAGAAUUAUUUUCCGGAAGUUCAAGUGUCCACGGUGAGAUCCUCUUGAAGGUCUCCUUGCGCGCCUGGCAAUUUAAUAGUGGAUAAUCACACAAUUAACCCACUUAUCAAGAAAGAUUGUACACUAGUACAAUCUAAGAAUUAUUUUACAAAAAGGAACCUCAAUUACACGUAAAUCGAGGUUCAACUUGCCUUUUAUUAGGUACAAUAUUAUUUGAGUUUUUAUCAUGAAAAUCGAGGGCAAAACGUUUGAAUAAUACUACGAGAAUUAAGAGUUUUGGAAAAACUCCUUUGCCUUGAAAUGUGAGAAUUUCAGUUUUAUCCUAAAUUUUUGAAAAAUCGUAACUCGCUCGGUAUAAGUCGAGAAUUGGAAAACUUUAUACCGUUGGAAUCCUCUGAGAGAGUACUAUAAGUUCCUAGAAGACACUUUUCCAUGAAUCCAAGUGAAAAGUGGUCAAAAUUGGGCUUGAAGACGCAGGGUUGGUUUUCAUGGCAGAAUUAAGUUGGAUUUCGGCCAACUUUGGAGAUUCGGCACGAUUCACACGUUGCAAACCGGCCUCUGAAAUUUUCAGCUCAAUUAGUGUUGCAAGUGAAGUGUAUGACAAAACAAGCGGAUCAAGAAUCGGAGUUUCGAGCACCGAGAUACGGUAGCCCGAAGUUGAGCAAAUUCAAGACUGGAUGAGAAUUUUCCAGAUUUGAACCUCUAACUUUAGUAAUUCAAUUGGGUAUCGAAACGAACUUGAAUUGGCACCAAAAUGGGUAGUAUUUCAAUACUAUAUGGAAAGUAUCCCUAUAUCGAAUUUCGGGGAAAAAUACCUUCGGCAAGAUAGUUAAUUAGCCAACCAAAGUUCAAGAAAAAUCCUAAGGCAAUCUGCCUUUGACUUUCAUUUUCCAAAUUUCCAAUCGUUUAACCAAGAAAGUUAUCCAACCAUGGUUCAUUUGUAAAAUAAGGGUCUAAGAUACACCCAUAAUGUCUUUGGUAAGUGUUUAAUAUCAAAAACAUCAACUAACAAGUUCACUCCAAGAUUUGGUUCCAAACCAGUCCAAACAUUAGGGUUUUCCAAAACAGAGCAGUCCACUUGUUUCAGUCACAACUCAGUCAUUAUAGCUCGAAAUCGAGCAUGGCUUAUGCCGUUGGAAAAUACAUUCAUAGAGUUAAAAUAUCACAGAAGAAAUCGUUUCCAAAUUCGGCACCCAUCUGGUUCAAAUUCGGGCAUCAAGUUACUGCCUGAACACCUCAUUCCAGAUGAACAGAGUAACAGGACAGCGAACUUAAAACAUUUCGUUCGGCUUGCUCACAAAGAAUCAGAACGUGCAUUAUAUACCAAAUUAAAUUUAGGAAUGUCUAGUUUCAAACGCCACCGACGGAACAUGAUUUCGACAUCCGAGGACAGAGUUAUAGCCAAAAUACUACUGCUGGUCAGAGCAUACGCGAAUCAGUUUUCCAGAUUUGCUGGUUUCUAAAAAAAAUUCAUUUGCCCAUUCAAACCUCAUUAUUUUUAAAUGAAAUUUUUCACACAUCUAAUACAUCCUACAAACAUCCAAUUCAAGCAAUUAAACCAUUAAAAAUUGGCCUGGAAAUGGCCGAACAUGGCAGGGGAAAAAUUGGAAAUUUUAGCUUCUUACACCCAAUGAAGUUCCUACUAAUUACCCACCACUAAUGCAUCAUUAUAACCACUAAACCAACAAUAUAAUAACCAUCAAUCAUCAAAUCAGCAACAACAACCCAAGUGUGGGAAUUCCAAGAGCCCACAAUCACAUUUUUACACCAUAAUCAAGUAACUAAGUGCAUGCAUGAGCUUAAUCUUGCCAUAUAAUCUCCAAAAGAUAAGAAUCCAAGGGUUGAUCAUUACCUACUCCUUUGGUUUGCAAGGUCAGAAUUUUCGGCCCUCUUAAAGCUCCAAGAAACCGUGA
rnacentral:lncRNA from 1 species